rnacentral:rRNA from 1 species
GGCAGUACGUAUGAGGGCCUUGUGCCCCUGCGGNCAGGUAGAACACAAAUAAAAUCCUCAUGCUUAACUAUAGAACUGCCUUUGAUACUGGUAUGACUUGAGUUAUACGGAAGUAGAUAGAAUAUGUAGUGUAGCGGUGAAAUGCAUAGAUAUUACAUAGAAUACCGAUUGCGAAGGCAGUCUACUACGUAUAUACUGACGCUCAUGGACGAAAGCGUGGGGAGCGAACAGGAUUAGAUACCCUGGUAGUCCACGCCGUAAACGAUGGACACUAGUUGUUGGAAUUAUUCAGUGACUAAGCGAAAGUGAUAAGUGUCCCACCUGGGGAGUACGAUCGCAAGAUUGAAACUCAAAGGAAUUGACGGGGGCCCGCACAAGCGGUGGAGCAUGUGGUUUAAUUCUAUGAUACGCGAGGAACCUUACCAGGGCUUAAAUGUGGUCUGACAGCUUUAGAGAUAGAGUUUUCUUCGGACAGAUCACAAGGUGCUGCAUGGUUGUCGUCAGCUCGUGCCGUGAGGUGUCAGGUUAAGUCCUAUAACGAGCGCAACCCCUAUCGUUAGUUGCUAGCAGGUAAUGCUGAGGACUCUAGCGAGACUGCCGGUGCAAACCGUGAGGAAGGUGGGGAUGACGUCAAAUCAUCACGGCCCUUACGUCCUGGGCUACACACGU